AAAAAUUAAUAAAAUACAAUCCAAUAACUUAUAAAACACAAAGCCCAGCCCAGUUCUUUAGCAUAAAAAACCUAGAUCUAUCGUUGAUAUCUUUGCAGCCGCUUCUCCUUACAUAAAAUAAAACCCUAGAUCUUAGCGUCUCCUCUUCCAUUUGUAGCCGUUUUUUCUUCUGCCUCUCCUAGAAUAAGAUACGGCUUUGCAUCAGUGGGGAUCCUUCAAUUUUGAGAGCGUCGUCUAGUCUUUAAAGGAGCCUCGAGAAUUCAUUCUGUUAGUGUAUUUCACCGUCGUCGUGUCGUUACCGUCAUCGUGUUGUCACCGUCGACAACCUUACAUUUACUCGAAAAGCCAAAUUAUUAAUGUAUUUGGGCCUGUUGUAAAGAUGUAAAUUUGCUAUUGGACUUGUAAUAUAUUAUAGGUUUGUUAUUAAGUUGUAAAUAUGUUAAUUGGCAUGUUAUUUUUUUGGU